rnacentral:rRNA from 1 species
CCUGGCUCAGGAUGAACGCUAGCGACAGGCUUAACACAUGCAAGUCGAGGGGCAGCACAGGUAGCAAUACCGGGUGGCGACCGGCGCACGGGUGAGUAACGCGUAUGCAACUUACCUAUCAGAGGGGGAUAACCCGGCGAAAGUCGGACUAAUACCGCAUGAAGCAGGGGCCCCGCAUGGGGAUAUUUGCUAAAGAUUCAUCGCUGAUAGAUAGGCAUGCGUUCCAUUAGGCAGUUGGCGGGGUAACGGCCCACCAAACCGACGAUGGAUAGGGGUUCUGAGAGGAAGGUCCCCCACAUUGGUACUGAGACACGGACCAAACUCCUACGGGAGGCAGCAGUGAGGAAUAUUGGUCAAUGGGCGUAAGCCUGAACCAGCCAAGUCGCGUGAGGGAUGAAGGUUCUAUAGAUCGUAAACCUCUUUUAUAAGGGAAUAAAGUGCGGGACGUGUCCCGUUUUGUAUGUACCUUAUGAAUAAGGAUCGGCUAACUCCGUGCCAGCAGCCGCGGUAAUACGGAGGAUCCGAGCGUUAUCCGGAUUUAUUGGGUUUAAAGGGUGCGUAGGCGGCCUUUUAAGUCAGCGGUGAAAGUCUGUGGCUCAACCAUAGAAUUGCCGUUGAAACUGGGGGGCUUGAGUAUGUUUGAGGCAGGCGGAAUGCGUGGUGUAGCGGUGAAAUGCUUAGAUAUCACGCAGAACCCCGAUUGCGAAGGCAGCCUGCCAAGCCAUGACUGACGCUGAUGCACGAAAGCGUGGGGAUCAAACAGGAUUAGAUACCCUGGUAGUCCACGCAGUAAACGAUGAUCACUAGCUGUUUGCGAUACAGUGUAAGCGGCACAGCGAAAGCGUUAAGUGAUCCACCUGGGGAGUACGCCGGCAACGGUGAAACUCAAAGGAAUUGACGGGGGCCCGCACAAGCGGAGGAACAUGUGGUUUAAUUCGAUGAUACGCGAGGAACCUUACCCGGGUUUGAACGCAUUUCGACCGCUCUGGAAACAGAGCCUCUAGCAAUAGCGAUUUGCGAGGUGCUGCAUGGUUGUCGUCAGCUCGUGCCGUGAGGUGUCGGCUUAAGUGCCAUAACGAGCGCAACCCUUGCCACUAGUUACUAACAGGUAAAGCUGAGGACUCUGGUGGGACUGCCAGCGUAAGCUGCGAGGAAGGCGGGGAUGACGUCAAAUCAGCACGGCCCUUACAUCCGGGGCGACACACGUGUUACAAUGGCGUGGACAAAGGGAUGCCACCUGGCGACAGGGAGCGAAUCCCCAAACCACGUCUCAGUUCGGAUCGGAGUCUGCAACCCGACUCCGUGAAGCUGGAUUCGCUAGUAAUCGCGCAUCAGCCAUGGCGCGGUGAAUACGUUCCCGGGCCUUGCACACACCGCC